rnacentral:tRNA from 1 species
GUGCUCGUAGUUUAGCGGUAAAACACUGCCCUGUGGAGGCAGAUUUGAGAGUUCGACUCUCUCCGAGCACC